GUUACUGCCCAGUACAUCCCGAUACCCACUGCCCAAACCCACCACAACACAGCCAUCUAUACAAUACAUUGACAGUUACUGCCCAGUACAUCCCGAUACCCACUGCCCAAACCCACCACAACACAGCCAUCUAUACAAUACAUUGACAGUUACUGCCCAGUACAUCCCAAUACCCACUGCCCAAACGCACCACAACACAGCAGUAUUAAUUGCAGACUCAAAAGGGUGCAAGGCGGGUAUUUGGAAGGACAAUGUGGGCAAUAUUUUUAAGGAGUAAGUUACAGAAUUUGGAGACAGACUGGAUGUGAGGAGAAAGGAUGAGUCAAGAGUAACGCCGAGGCAGCAACCUUGAGGAGCUGGGGUAAUAGGGGUUCCACUGACUUGCAGAGAUUGAUGGAAGAGGACAAUUUGAGAGGGGGAAAGAUGAGGAGUUCAGUCUUAGAAAGAUUAAGCUUAGAAAGAGGUACUGAAAUCCAGAUGAGUUAAUAAGGUUACAGAGUGAGGCAGUGUAUAAUAAAAGAGAACCAAGAACAGAGCCUUGAGGAACACCAUCUUAGAGCAGCCAGCAGGAGGUGGUGGCACCAAAGAAAACGAGCAUUCAGAAAGAUAGUACAAAAACCAGGAAAGCAGAGCGUCAAGGAGUCCGAGGUUGUGGAGGGUUUGAAGAAAAGAGUGAUCAACAGUAUCAAAGACAGCUUUUAGAUUUAGCAGUGAACAAGUCGUUAGUCACAUGGUAAGAAACAAUGUCAGCCUACCACAAAUCCUCAUCGAUUAUAA